UUCAAACAAAAUGGCGGAAAAAAGGUGUGCAAGUGCAUCUUCUAGUCUGGAAAAUACCAGUGGCCCAAAAAGAAAAAAGCUUGAAAUUAUACCAGACUUUACAACUCUAACUUGGAGAUUAUGGUUAGUAUGAUUUAUGUGUUCAUUUUAUAAAUAAUUUGUUUGUAAGUGAAGAAAUUGUUCAUUAAUAUAAAUAAUAUGAAAAUUUCUUAAAUUUGAUUAUUUGAAGUCUUGUUUGUUGUCACCAUAAGAAUUAGAUUAUUUCUAUGGUUAUCACAUACAGUCUGCAGUGCCAGUGCUGGACGUUUGCUUCCGCCUAUCAGCCACCUAACGGCUGCUUAUUUCUUUGCAUAUUUUCAAAAUGUAUAUAUAUUUUUGUCCUACAUACUCAGACAUGAUGGUCGUUUCAUACCCAGGCUACGACCAUUCUUGUCCUCAGAGGCCAGAGCCAUUUCACUCAGUCACUCAUGGAAAAUUAGGUUCUGGGUUAGAGAUCUGAACAACGAAAGACUUUAAACAUAUUUUAAAACAGAGACUUGUAGAAACAUUUAAAUUUAGGACCAAUCUUAAGACAUUUUGAUGUAAAUAGCAUAUAUAUUUGUGUAGUACUACCAAGUGUGUGUGUGUGUGUGUUGUGUGACUGUGUGUUGUUAUGUGUGUCUCUAUUAUUACAGUGUAUAAAAAAUUUAGAUCAAUUAUGUAAAAUUUUGCUGAAAAGCCUUUUAAGGGAUGUGAAAUUAAAAUACAAUAACAAUAACAAUUGGUUUCUCAGAGAACUGCUAUUUUGCAAAAGCUAGGCAAAAUUAUUCUAUGAAUAUAAUGUCAUUUUAUAUGUCAACACAAAUACUUCAUUUCUUCAUAAUAUUUCACUGUGAAAAUUGUUGCGGGUGUUAAAGUGUCCCAAUUGAAGAGCAUGCCCUUUAGAAACUACUGCAAAUUUUCUUGCACUUUGUGUGGUCCAGGGCAGGCUAUUGUUGAAUGUACAACCUGCCUGUCAAAUCUGUCUUGUCAUGUGCUAGAUGUGAGAAUUUUUUUCAAAUUUAGCAUUGUUUUCACCGCAAAAUAUAUCCUGAAGUCCCCCCUCUAACUUUCUAUUUUAUUACAAAACACACAAAUCGUGGGCCAAAGAAUAAUGUAUGAGAUGUGAUAAUUCUGCCAAAAUUCAUAUAUUGAAUUAUGCCAUUGGAAAUUGCAUUUAUGAACUUCAGUUAUGCUAUUAUGAUAUUCAAUAUUAUGAUAUUCGAAUUUCAUUCGGUGUGAAAUAGUCAUUAUUGAAUCAGGGUACGAAUUAACGCUUCGCAAAUUGCACAAAAUGCGAAGCGAUUUUGGUUAUUGCGUAAAAUUUCUAAAAGUUGCGAAGCUUCUUUAGUUUUAAUGCUUGAUAUCCAGCUUUCUUCCAUUUCACCGGAAUCUUCACUUUCUUCUAUUUCAUUUCAUUUGUGUGGAGCAUCUCACUUUUGAGUUCUGUGCUAGUGUUGACAUCACAGCUAUCAACGGUGAGAACGACAAUUCAUUGCUUGUUUAGCCAUUUGCUUCACUGUUAUUAAUUUAAAAUUAUAUAACGUACAUCUUAGUGUUUCAAAGAAGAUAGAAAUCGUGGAAUUUUAAACGAUGUAUACCUGUACAUGUAUAAACAAUUAGGAUAAUAGACCUGCAUAAUCGCGGAGACACAUGCCCAAUUGUGAAGUAUCCAUAGACGGAUUUUCAUAUUUAUUACUGGGGUGGUGCCAGAAAUUUUAGGGGGGUGAGCCGUGAGCAGGUGACUGAAGCAACACAAAGUGUCACCAAACCCCAGUAAGGUCUAUAUUCUAGGGGUGGAGCACUAGAGCUACGAGGGGGAGUCUAGAGAGCAGAAAACAAAAUAUUCCAGGAAACAUUUUGGAAAAAAUCAUGAUUUCUAGCUUCGAAAAAAAGUUUUUUGAAGUUGUCAAUUUGUCACAUCAAUGGAUUCGGCAUGUCCGAUUGUCUGUUGAGACUUGAGAGAGUUAAAGUAGAGUUUGUAUCAUCAACACACUGCACGUUGUUUGAAUCUGAGUACCAAUUUAUGAUGCAACUCCGAUGUAAAUAAUAUUUGGGGUGUAAAGAUUAAAUCUAGGCAAGUCUAUUUCCUAAAAGAAUUAAAAACUAAAAAUAGUGUUCGUAAAAAUUCCAAACGUUCCUUGCGUGCAAGCUAUUCACAUGACAAGGCACUGCAAACUCUAUUCAGGGAAGAUAAUAGAGUUUCAAAACUUUACGAUUGCUCCAAUAAACCAGUGAAUGCAAGCUAGGAGUGAUUAGUUCAGAGUGUUGCACUGUCUUUUUCUGUUCGAGUGUACUCCUACGUUUAUUUUGUAUCAUCAACACUCUGCACGUUGGAGUAGACUACUUAAUUAUUUAUUUAUUAUGCCAAAUAUUGGGGGGGGGGGUUGGAAAUUUUUUUUGGAGGGGUGGACAUUUUGUUUGGGGGUUAUAGCUAAUAUUGGGGGGUAGCACCCCCCUGCACCCCCAGAAAAUCCGUCUAUGGAAGUAUCCCUAAGGUCUAUACUGUAUAAAUACAGCAAUUCCUUGACUUUAGCAAUGUUUAUUCAUUAGUGAAAUGUUGUGUUGUUAAGGCUGCUUUCCAGUUAAGCGUUUUUCAUAUGCGUGCGUGCGUACAUGCACGGAAAAGUUUGAACUAUUUAAAAGUUUCUUAUAAAAUAAUUAAAUGAAUAAGAGGCCUGCAUUUAGUUUCGUGAUCUAUUUAAAGGCUCGGUUGUUGAGGUAGGUAGAACUUCAAUAAAAUUUACAAAGAUUUAAACUUUUCUGUACGUAUACGUGCGAAAAAUAGCAGCCUUUAUUUAGGGGAAAAACAACGAAAACGUAACGUUUUGACAUUGAGCACAUGGUAACAUUGCUUCGAUAAUUACUUGUCCAGGCCUUAAAAUAUCUUUUCCAGGGCCGUCUGACAAAAUGUCCGGUGACGUUGAGUUUGGGCCGGACAUAUGUCCGAUGACCUUCAGUUCAUUUUUGACUCGGAAAUAAGUCUGAAUGACACAAAUGAAUAAACGGUAAAUGUUGUAAAGAUAAUUUGUUUCUUUCAUACUUAUUUCCAAGCCAAAAUUAACUUGCUUUCCAGAACAGCAGUAUCAAAAAGACUUCGACAACUUAAGCCCGUUUUCCACUUCACCAUUUCGCUCGCCGCCCCGCGCUCGACUACAUUAAAACAACAUUUCCAGUUUGACCUUUUAUACAAUAGUAUUCUGAUUUUCCAUUUAACAUUUUGAUUUACGUCGGACAAAGCUACAGUUCGGUCGGACACCAAUACACUCGGUUCGGACAAACAAUAAACCUCAGUUUCACUUAGGUCGGACAGAAUGUCCGGUGGUUUCCUUUCUACGUCGGACAAUUUCACGAAUGGGUCGGACAAUGUCCGUGACCGACCGAUAUUUUAAGGCCUGCUUGUCACAGGUUGUCUAAAUGUUUAUACAAAUGCGAGAGCAUGCAUAUUUUUAGAAUUUUCAAUUUUACUACGGAAGCGUUUGAUUUUUAGCAGAAUGUAAUGCUUUAUGCAGUGUGAAAUGAUUGCAAUCAUGUUCGAAAUGCCUUACCUUAGCAAAAUCAUUGCAUGUGCCGCAUUCCUUUUCGGCUUUUUGUGAUGCUCAAAAAAAUUGGGGAGGGGAUCCUAAAAUGUGUAUUUUAACGUGAAAUUUUUCAAAAAAAAAUGCGAUGCUGUUUUGUAGCGAUAAUUCGGACCCUGAUUGAAUUUUCAUUCGGCGUGAAACGGUCAUUAAUUGAAAUGGUCAUUCGGCAUGGCACUCUGAAACCAAAAUUCGUCUUCCGGUUUAGCGGAAAAAUCACACGGGAAAUUGUAAUUCCAACAUGGGCAAAGGCAAUUUCGGUCAACAACACAGAAAUAUAAUUGCUGUAGACGUAUUGGAAACAAGUAGGCAAACUAGAAUUGAGCUAACAAAUACAUUGGAGUCAAUUUUGAGGCAACUACGAUCAGAGAAUGUUGACCAAAAUGUAGUUGAUAGUGUGCAGUACCGCCUCGAUUGGAUUUUUAAUACUGUAGCGAGGUACGCUGAUUUGCAGAUUGUUGAAUUGACGGCAGUGACUCCAGAUGAUGUAGUUGGUACGUUUUGAAUAUCUACAUUCGAACGAGCAUGCGAUUCGCUUUGAGAAAUUACAUUUGGACUCGCAACUUGUGUUGAAGAAACAUCAUUUGAUGAUCCACAAUAUUCUCUGAUCAAUCUUGGUUUCUGAGUGCCAUGCCAAACCGGAAGUCGAAUUCUGGUUUCUGAGUGCCAUGCCAAAUGACUAUUUCAUUGACUGUUUCACGUCGAAUGAAAAUUCAAUAAUGACUGUUUCACGCGGAAUGAAAUUCGAAUAUCAUAAUAUUGAAUAUCACAAUAGCAUAACUGAACUUCAAAAAUGCAAUUUCCAAUGGCAUAAUUCAAUAUAUGAAUUUUGGCGGAUAUCACACCUAAUAAUAAUGCACCAUUAGAUGUUUUUAUACAUGGUAGUCUUUUCAGAACAAGAAACAAAUUUUAAUUUAUAAAGAUAUGGCAAAAGUUUAUGCAAUGUUUUGGCAGUUCUGCCUGAUCUUAAGGUAAACUUCUAUUAAAUCACUGAGCACUUGAAUCCGAAAUGGGUGUACAAGAAGAAAGUGGCUCAGAUAAUAAUGACACGUUAAUAAUUAGAUAUUUCAUCCUGCUCAUCAGAAAAUGAUUUAUCAGAAGACAGUUCAUUUCAGGACAUUUGAGGACAAUGUACUGUGUGCAAAAUACUAUAUUAAAAGCUACUUUAAUUUGCUAAGAUUUUCACGUUGAUGUACUAUCAUUUUUUUCUGUCAAAAGUGAUCUGCAUUACUAAAGGAAUACCGAAUGGUUUUCCAUGCAGGAUUAUGUGAUCCAUGCACGAGGGAUGUCGCAAGACUUUCGGAAAGCGUACAAAUACUCGAGCUGCAGGCGAGUCACUGUAUUUUAAUUUACGCUUUCCGAACGUCGAGCAACAUCUCAAGUGCGUGCAUGGAUCACGCUAUCCUGCUUGGAAAACCAUUUGGUAAUUGUUUUAUAAAAUAACUACAGUGAAACAAUGACAAUUUGAGAAUCCCGCGAAAAUCCCGCGAAGGCAUUUUAAUUCCUCAUGCAAGGAUAGCCUGAUCCUGCACGGCUAUUGACCAAUCAAAUUGCUUGUUUCACUGUAGUUAUUAUAUAAUAUAAAUUACUGCUAGCCUAAACCUAUUUUCACAACCCCCCCCCCCCUUUUCUGUUUGCUAUUUUUAAGUCCCCCCUUCCACAUUUUUUUAAAAGCACCCCCCCCCAGUUUUUCCCCAAGCCCCCUCUGUAUAACAAAUAAUGAGCAGUCCCGAAGCCACUAUUAUUGUCUAGGUGUACUAUUUGGCUUACAUUUCUAAUGUUUGAAAGCAACCAACCCCAUUUUUUCGCUGCUUGCUUUAUUAUAUAUACACAAUACAUUACAAUAAAUUUAUUUCAGUAUGGUUAAGAUUAAAGCUAAAGCUUAUGGGGCCGUUCUUAGGUACAAAGUAUGUUUUACCUAUAUAUGUAAUAUGUAAUUUUAGUAUUUUUGCACAAGUGAAUAUAACAAAUCCUACAAGUUGAUUGGUCAAAUUUGACGUACAGUAUUAAGCUGUUAUAUUCACCUACAGGUGAAUAUAACAAAACCGAAAUUUGCAAAAUGGCGGCUAGCUGUUUUGUGGAAGUUACUGAUAAAGAAAUAAGCGAAAUUGAAAUAAAUUCAGUCCCAAAAAACAAGAGAAUUGAUAAAAUGUGUAAAAAUACUAAAACAAUUAUUCACCUCAGACUCGGUGAUUAUUAUAUACCAAUAGUUAAAGUCCCCUUUUUCUAGUGUUUUAUUGGUCGAGAGCAUAUCACGCGAGAGUGACGAAAUUAGGCUGUCUCCCUCGCAACAGCGCGAGAUGGAGAUAUUAGAGAGGUUAACAUACCCCGGUUUCGGUGUACGGGUACGAGUAGCAUGACUUUGGUUAGCAAUAUUUUCGUCGAUGUCUGUACCUUUACUCGUAAUUAAGGUGCACAUUUUUCGCAUUAUAUCAUUGUCUAUCAGGCCUUAAAAUAUCGGUCGGUCACGGACGUUGUCCGACCCAUUCAUCAAAUUGUCCGACGUACAGAGGAAACUACCGGACAUUCUGUCCGACCUAAGUGAAACUGAGGUUUAUUGUUUGUCUGACCCGAGUGUAUUGGUGUCCGACCGAACUGUAGCUUUGUCUGACGCUUUCUCCACGCACGUAUUAUCAAAAUGUACCCUAGUCCAGAACCAGAGUUUGAAUAAAAAUGAACCGGAAAUGUUGCGGGGCGGCGAGUGAAAUGGUGAGGUGGAAAACGGGCUUAAGUUAUCGAAGUCGUACUGCUAUCAUUGGCAAGCAAGUUAAUUUUGGCCUGGAAAUAAGUAUGAAUGACACAAAUUAUUUAAUAUCUUCACAACAUUUAGUUCAGAAUGAAUACAUUAUGCUGAUAUUAAUUUGCGUCAUUCAGACUUAUUUCCGACCCAAACUGAACUGAAGGUCAUCGGACAUAUGUCCGACCCAUUCUCAAAGUCAUCGGACAUUUUGUCAGACGGCCCUGUAAAAUAUAUUUUAAGGCCUGAUUGUCAAUUGCAAGAAAACAGACAAAGUAUGAUCGAAUUACAGACAUCAGUAAAACAAGAUGACACUACUCGUACCCGUACACCGAAACCGGGUUAUCUUAACCUCUCUAAUACGUUAUCGACCGGCGGAAUAACCAAAAAAAUCACGUACGCCAUCACGUGAAGAUGCGACCUUUGGUUAAUUUAACGUUUUGACAAAAAAUUUCAUGUAUUUACUUUCAUUUAUUCUUUAAUUUGUUGUUUCUUUGACUAUUGAUAUAUAAUAAAAUACUUGUAGAUAAACUAUAAACUUUAAUAUAACUGGAAAUUGACUAUUUGACAUUGAUAUUUAUGAUCAUUUAUAGUAAUGACGCCAGAGGCAAUUAUAGCGUGAUUGACAUUAUAAAAACGAGAGCGACGAGAAUAUGGGGAAUUUGGUGUAAAAAAUAGCGUAAAAUAUAAUAAAAUUGAUAUUUAACAGAGAAGAUUAGUCAAAAAUAUAAUACAUGGUCCUUCGAGAGCCGAAUUAAACGAUUGAGAGAUGUCUACCGUUGCGAAAAAGAAGAAAAUACGCCAAGGACACCGAGCUUACGCUUCGAAAAUAUUGGGAAAUGUGAAAAGCGUAAUACAGAAUUAUGACUCGUCGAAUGAAAGCAGAUUGAGACAACUCAAGAUUUCCUCAGAAGAGAGAUUAAAGAAACUGAAAACUUUAGACGAAGAAAUACUUGAAGUCAUUGAAGACAGCGAAAUUACAAGCGAAAUAGAAGAGUCUGGAGAGUUUACCGAGAAUAUUUAUGGAGCUAUUGUAGAGAUCGACCGCGUUUUGUCGAACAGCAAAUUACACCAACAACUAGAAAACAAAGGAGACAAUUUAAUCGGAGAAGCAGAGAGUUUAUCGCAAAGCAAUGGAUCGAAGAUAAACACGCAAAACUACCGAAACUUGUAUUAAAUACCUUUUACGGAGAACCAAUUAAUUAUCUCAAGAGUCUUUUGAAAGGUCCAGCAGCGUUGACAAUCGCAGGUCUACAACUUUCGGCAGAAAACUACGAUACAGCAGUGAAAUUAUUAGAAGAGCGCUUUGGAAAUAACAAGUAAUAAUUAGCGGUCAUAUGGACAGUUUGUUGAAAAUAACAUCAUUGAACGUUUCGAAUGACGUAAAAAAACUACGACAAAUGUACGACAAAGUUGAGACACAUGUAAGAGGUCUACAAGCUCUAGAAGUUCCCACUGAAUCAUACGGUAGUCUUUUGGUGCCUAUAUUGAUGACCAAAAUUCCAGAGGAAUUCGAAUAUUGCUAUGGCGACAGAUUAAAGAAGACAAAGAUUGGAAACUUGAUGAGUUACUUCGCCUUCUACAAGAAGAAAUUAAGAACCGAGAACGAUGUGAGGGAAUUAAAGCAAUCGAGACACCUUCAGAAAACCGCGAGAGAAAAUAUCAGCGCAAAGAUCCUUCGACAUUAGCAGCGUUGUUGGCAGAAGAAAAAGCGGCGCGAAUUCACUGUACCUAUAUUGUAAACAGCCACACCCAACAGUGGAAUGCAAAGUUGUCACAAACGUAGAAGCGAAGCGUAAUGAAACAAGGACGGUGUUUUAGAUGCCUUAAACGAAACCACAUCGCCCGAGAUUGUCAAACGAAAACAACUUGUCAAAAGUGCUAAAAAAACAUCACGUUAGUUUAUGCGAGAGCGAACAACAACAAAAACGAGACAACCUUGGAAAAUCGCCAGAAGAAAAGUCCAACCAGUCCAGCACACUUUACGUUAGCUCAAAGAACUCCAUUCUACUUCAAACCACACAAGCUUUCGUUGGAUUAAGAGAGCCAAAUUCGGGGGUUCGUGUUAGAGUUAUAUUUGACUCGGGAAGUCAGAAGAGUUUUAUUAAAAGAAGUGUGCGAGAUCAACUGAAAUUACCAACAAUAGCCAAGGAGUCUUUGGUCAUAAAAACGUUCGGAAAUGAUGAGAUCAACCGCAAGGAAACCUGUGACAAAGUUCAAUUUACAGUCGGAGAUAUUGGAGGACAUUUCUCGACCAGAAUGGAAGCCUAUGUUGUGCCUGAUAUUUGUGCGCCAAUUUCUAAUCAAGAAAUCGACCGAGCGAAACGUUGUUAUGCUCAUCUGACGAAAAUCGACUUAGCUGAUAGUAACCAUGGUAACGAAGAGAUGGAAAUUCAGUUGCUGAUCGGAGCGGAUUAUAUGUGGUCCUUUUUCACGGGAGAAAUUGCGAGAGGAGAGCAACAGAUUGGUCCAGUGGCGAGCAAAACAAGUCUUGGAUGGGUACUAUCGGGUCCAAUUUCAACUACGAAGAAACAAAAACUGUCUAACGUAAAUUUUGUUUCAGCACACGUGCUAAAGAUUGCCGAAAAUUACCAAGAGAAACCCGCAGCUGAAGAAUUACUUCCAGUUAUGGGAUAUCGAAUCCAUUGGUAUACGAGAUAAAGAAGCAGUCCACGAAUCGUUUUUGAAGAACGUCACCUUUAAAGAUGGAAGAUAUUCUGUUAGUUUACCAUUAAAGGAACAACACGAACUUUUACCAGACAACUAUGACCUGAGCUUAGCGUGAUUGAAUACUUUAGUUAAACGUCUGCGUAAAGACCAACCAAUCCUUCAAGAGUACAACGGAAUUAUCGAAGAACAGCUUCACCAGGGAAUAGUUGAAAGAGUUCAAGAAUCGCAAGAGCAUCAAGUCGGACAGACACAUUAUUUACCGCAUCAAGCGGUCAUCAGAAAAGAUGCAUUAACCACAAAGACAAGAGUUGUAUUGGAUGCCAGUGCGAAAGUCAGCAAGAGUUAUCCUUCUUUGAACGAUUGCAUUUAUACUGGCCCGUCAUUAACACCAGGAAUAUUUGACAUACUACUACGCUUCAGACGAAACAAAGUAGGACUAGUUGCCGACAUCGAAAAGGCUUUUUUGAACAUAGCUAUUAAUUGACGAGAAACAAAGAGAUUUGAUGCGAUUCCUGUGGCUGGACGACAUCAACAGCGAAGACCCAAUUGUCGAAGUUUAUCGAUUUGCGAGAGUUAUUUUUGGAAUGAACUGCUCCCCUUUCCUAUUAAAUGCUACGCUACAUCACGUUUUGGAAUAUUACCGUAAAGAUCUAGCUUUGGCAAAGGCCCUCUUAGAUGCUUUGUACCUGGACGACUGAACAUCAGGCGAAGAAGAUGAAGGUCGAGCGUAUGAACUGUAUCGUGAAACUAACGAGUGUUUUGCUUCAGGGGGUUUCAAGUUGCGAAAAUGGGCAUCGAACAACAAGGCAGUCAUCGACAAGAUUACCCAAGAGAGAGAACAAAGAGAAGGAGUAUAAUAGAGCUGAUAUCGCCACAAAGGACAACGAAUCUUAUGCCAAAAUCACGGUUGGUGGUCUGGACGAAAUUGACCCUACUACGGAGCAUAAGGUUUUGGGACUUAACUGGAACCUUAAAAACGAUACAUUUAUUUUGAAACUGAACAAGAUCUCUAACCUUGGAAAAAGUCUUGAACCCGUCUUGAAGGUUGCCGCCAAAUUGUUUGAUCCUUUGGGCUUGAUCUCGCCAGCGACAGUGCAGCUUCGUAUGCUGCUGCAAGAUUUAUGUGCCAAGAAAUAUGACUGGGACAGUAUUAUUUCCCAAUCAAGUGCCAAAACUUUUCGGAUAUGGCUCGAUGAUGCAGAGAAAGUUGACCAAAUUGUAAUUCAACGUUAUUACUUUCCAACUGCGACUAAGAGAAUAGAAUCAGUCACUCUUCAUGGAUUUGGCGACGCGUCAAAGGGAGCUUACUGCGCGGUCGUUUAUCUGUGUGUAGAAAUCGAGGAUGGCUACGUGGCAAGUCUUGUGGCUUCGAAGGGCAGAGUAACACCUUUGACACCUAUAACGAUACCGAGACUAAAGCAGUUUCCACAGAGUUACCCAAUGUCAGAGAAGAUAGAGGAAACCGAAGAUCAGUCAGAAGAAUGCCUUAAAGAACUACGAGUUAAGGCAACAUCGACCACUACAGCUACCAACCUUCUUAAAGAAACCACGUCUGUCAAGAACACUAAGAGUAUUGACAUUACCCGGUUUAAUAGUCUUGCAAAAUUGCUCAGAGUUACAGCUUUAGUGUUCAGACUUGUUCAGAUCCUGAAGGCAGAACACAGUGAUUAUCAAUUUUCAGGAAACAUUGUUUUAACUGCAGCAGAGAUUACAGAAGCUAGGAACACUUGGAUUCGUAAUUGUCAAAUAGAACUUGAACAGCAGCCAAACUACGAGACCUUGCAACAACAACUUGGAGUGUACGUAGAUACAGAACACAUCCUGAGGUGCAAAGGGAGAUUGGAUCAUGCAUCACUGCCAGACGAAACUAGACAUCCAGUGUUACUACCACGAAACCACCAUCUUUCCACUCUUGUUGUUAAAUCGUGUCACGAGAAGAUUCGUCACGGAGGUACAAAGGAAACGCUAGCAGAGGUUAGGAGUGUUUAUUGGAUCCCGAAAGGAAGACAAUUCGUGCGAAAGAUUCUACAACAGUGCGUAACGUGCAAGAAAAUCCAAGGUGUGACUUUCCGACCACCUCAACCAGGUCAUCUACCCGAAAUGAGAGUUACAGAAACAGCUGCAUUUACCCACGUUGGAGUCGAUUUCGCUGGUCCGGUUUAUGUAAAGGAAAUGAAUGGUCACGAAAAGGAGAUGAAGAAAAUUUACAUCUGUUUACGUGUGCGACGUGUAGAGCACUUCACUUAGAGUUGACGCCUGACCUCUCUACCGAAGCUUUCAUCCGAUGUUUAAGGAGAUUCACUGCAAGACGAGGUACGCCGGCGACGAUAACAUCGGACAAUGCAAAAACUUUCAAACGAGCAAACAAGGAAAUAAUCAAGAUACUUGAGGGACAAAAUCUACAACAAUUUGCAGAGAAUAUGGGUAUCACAUGGAAGUUUAUUCUAGAAAAAGCGCCGUGGUGGGGUGGCUACUACGAGCGAAUGGUUAAACUUGUUAAGCAAAGUUUACGCAAAGUUCUGGGACGAGCUCAAUUGAGUUACGAGGAAUUCAUGACAGUACUGACCGAAAUCGAAGGAGUUCUGAAUUCGCGACCUAUUACUUAUGUUUAUCCAGAUCUUACUGAGGAACCAUUAACCCUUUCACACCUGACCAUCGGGAGACGGCUUGCCACAUUACCAAGUGAAGGGCAGCUUAGUGAUGACGAACGUUCGGAAGCAACGUUCAAACGUAGAGCACGUUAUCUAAGCAAAUUACUGGAACAUUUUUGGAAACGAUGGUCUAGAGAAUACUUAGUAGACUUGAGAGAAUUUCACAAUAGCAAAUCCACCAAAUCAAGGAGAAGAAUUCAAGUAGGAGAUGUUGUAUUGAUAAAGGAUGAUGGACUACCGAAAUCGAAAUGGAAACUUGCAGAAGUUAAGGAAUUGAUGAAAGGUAGAGAUGGAGAGACAAGAGUUGUGAACAGUCGCAAAGAAGGGAUCCCAUACGAUCCUACGAAGACCAAUUCAAAGACUCUGUCCAUUGGAAGUCAACAGUAACGCAGUUAGCGAGCAGGAGAAAUUAUCUGAAGAAAAGAACGAAACAGUUGAAUCAUCGAAACCAGCUAGACGAAAGGCAGCUAUCAAAGCAGAUACUGUUCGCAGACUUUUUGACCAACGCUGACGCGAUGGUCAAGGGGGGAGUGUAGAUAAACUAUGAACUUUAAUAUAAUCCGAAAUUGACUAUUUGACAUUGAUAUUUAUAGUAAUGACGCCAGAGGCAAUUAUAGCGUGAUUGACAUUAUAAAAACAAGAGCGACGAGAAUAUGGGGAAUUUGGUGUAAACAAUAGCGUAAAAUAUAAUAAAAUUGAUAUUUAACACAGAAGAUUAGUCAAAAAUAUUAAUAACUUACUGACCGAGAGUGAGGGCAGUACGGGAAAAUAUCCAACCGAGGUCUUGCUGUAUUGACCGAGCGAUAGCGAGGUCAAUACAGCAAGACCGAGGUUGGAUAUUUUCCCGUACUGCCCGAACGGUUGAGGUCAGUAAGUUUUUAUUAUAUGGCAUUGUACGUUUGUAAAAAAUGGAAGAAAAGGUCACGCGAGGGCAAAGUACAAAGUCCGAAACAGUUUGCAAAAAAAAACAAUUGUAAAAAAUGUUCUUUGGUUAGUAAAACUGCUCUACAGUACUUUUUAUAUAGAAUACUAACACAGUUUGGAUAGUAUUUCAAGAAAAAUACGAGGUAUUUCGUCAUUUAAUCAAAGACAACAAAUAUGAAAACAAUAAAAUUCAAUAAAAUUACAAAAACAAGUACGUUUUUGUUCGCUUCAUCUCAUAUUUAUUUCUCUUUUUAUCUAACAAAAACAGAAAUUUUCAGGGGAAAAUUAUAAAUCUGUGGCUGUUUUAGUUGUAGUUUUUUAUUUAGGAUGAUGUCAAAUUCCUUCGCAUUGUCAAAACACAACUAUUCCUGACUGCUUUUAUUGUUAUAAACAUUAAAAUUUACCUUGUAAUUUUGACUUUCGCUAACAAAAACGUAUGGCGAAAGUUCUUUAACCACAGCAGUUGCUCCUUUUCUUUAGUUUAGGUUUAUUUUUCUUCGUUUUGAAUAGUUUUGAAAGACUUUUAGACACUUUUUGCUGUUUGAAACUCGGCUGUCGUCGCUGGGCAAUAAAAAUUGCGUAUUGCCCGUGGGCAAUACGGGAAAAUCCUGCCUCGUCAGCAGCCAAUCAAAUCGCACGAUUCGUCAAAACAAAUGCUUGCCAUAUAAUAAAAUACAAUACUUAUUUACUGGGACCUCGGGAAAGCAGUGUGUUUUGUGGACCCUCGACCGUCGAUGUUUCACUCGGCUUCGCCUCGGGAACAUGCAUCGACGGUCUCGGGUCCACAAAACAUACUGUUUCCCUCGCUCCAAGUAAAUAAGUGUUAAAUAUUCACCUCGACUUCGUCUCGGUGAAUAUUCCCCCAUGAUCACCUCGCCUUCAUUGAAUAAUUGUUAAAUAUAUUUGUUCAUUUUAGUUCAGUUCUAUUUCGGCUGCUAGUUUUAAGAAAUAAAUCAUCUAUCUAUCUAUCUAUCUAUUCUCUAACUCGUCUAUUUGCUAAGUAAAUUCCAGACAAUAUAUGGCUCCUCUGCUACAGAAUUUUUCAUUAAGUAAGUUUCAAAGCUUGGAAUGAUGACUUUGUUCUCAUUUCUUAAAUUUUAUGUAGUAUAACUAUAUUCCUUUUCUCUACUCAUACAUAUUAUUUAAUACAAUACAAUACUUUAUUGACAAUUCCCCAACACUGGACAAUAAAUUAAUCCUAACUAAAACACAUGCAAAUAUUACUAAUUAUGUUUUUAAAACUGGCUGUCAAAUAUUCAUUUAGGAGAUGCUUCCUUAAUUUACUUUUAAAACUACUUAAACAUUCACUUGACUUUAUAAAGGAUGGAAAGUUAUUCCAAAUAUGGACAAUUCUAUAAGAAAAUGAUCUUUGUCCUGUCUUGGUCUUACACAAUGGAAUAUGUAAUUUUUCGGAAUUUCUUAUUUUUCGCCCACUUACAGUAUGCUGCCCCUAGUACUCAAUCAAUCAAUCAAUAAUUUAUUUAUCCACUUUAUACACUUAGGAGAAAUAGCUCGUUAAAACGCGCACGUGCCAAUAAACUAUGAAAUACUGUAUAAAUAGAGGAUAUUACACGGCGGCGCGAAGAUAUGACUUUUAUCUUCGAGUGGUGAAAACAAUAUUUUACGAACGAGCGCAACGAGUGAGUAAAAUAUUGUUUUUAACACGAGAAGAUAGUCAUAUCUUCAAGCCACCGUGUAAUCACUGUAAUGUUCUGUUUAUUAUAUAGUCCCAAGCUAAAAAUUGUGAAAUUUCACGCUCAAAAGCAAAUUGGAAAAAGUCACGUGAUCGAUAUUUUCACUAGUGAAGAUAUGGAAAAUAUCUCACUGUGUAUUUUUCAGUAUCUCACUCUCUACUAUAUAAUAAUACAAAUUAUGAAAAUAUUAUAAAAUUAUGAAGUUCUAAAACUAGUAUGUAUAUAUUUAACAAAUAUAAAACAUUUUCCGUGUUGAUAUACAGUUUUAUUAUAUGGACAAUGGUGUUUUACUGGAAACUAAAACACUCGUAGAACUCAUACGUCACUACAUCCGGGACCAGGUGCGCGUAUUUUCCGUAUUUCACCCCUGCUAGUGACAUACGAAGUUCGAACAUUUCCCGCCAUUUUCAUUGUUGCUGUUUUGAAAAUGGUCUUUGGUUCGUAUUUAAAACGAAAUUAACGUUGGAAAUAAAACGAAAACAUUUAAAAGACAUCUUGAGAUAAGUAAAAUUUAUUCUAGUUUUAUGUUUGCACUAUAAUUUAAAAGAAUAUCGCUUUUAUACUGGUCUUUCGCGUGCUUAUUUACAUGUCGUCUUUGUGUGUAUUUUCGUCACUCUGAGUAUUAAAGUCCAUAUAAUAAACAGAACAUUAAACGGUUGCGAGAAGAUAUGGAUUUAUGUUCUCUUGUCAAAAACAAUAUCCAUAUCUCUUCGCAACCGUCUAAUAUCCUCUAUAUAUCAACACGAGUGGAAAUUGGGAAAACGAGAAAUUUCCCAAUUUCCACGAGUGUUGAUAUAACUGUAUAUAAAUACGGAAAAAAGUUUUAUAUUUGUUUUAUAAUAUAGCACAAAAAUUGGAAAUUUGUUUAUCUUUCUGGGAACCUGGGUUUAGGGCUCAAAUUGUCUGCAAAAGAUUACAAUAUAAUAUUAUACGGAACUGUCUAUAAGGGUACAAUAACAGGUGUACAAAAACAGGCAGGACAUGCAAGGGCUUGAGUUUUAUAAAAACUGCAAUAUUUAGUUUCCGUGACAUAAAACUUACGAGUCAACUCAAAAUGUUGUUGAUGCCGACCACAUUAUUGUGAAAUCUGGUAGAGAAUAUAGAAUAAAAUUUUAAGAGAGCUUAUGGUAUUAUACCACACAAUUUCUCUUAAACUUUAAUGCUCAAAAUCUGUUUUGCGAUUUAAAACUUGAUUUUUUUUUAAAUCAGUGCCGGACUAUACAAAUACAGUAAUUAUGUGCCACUGUAAUAUUUAUUUAUAUGUAAUAGUUAACAUGAAGACUUCCUAGUUCUUCGCUUUCAACUUGAACCAUCUAGUGUUUUGUCAUUUUUUGUUUUUACCCAUCUAAAAUCUCUUCAUUUUAGCAGUAUUUUACAGAUAAAGUACUAAACAUGCAUAUAUUUUAAGUUUAUUUGCCGAUUGGGAAACGUGUAUAACGUAUAUUAUGCUAAUUAGUUUUGAGCGCAUGUUACGUAACAUAAAACUCCUGUUAACACUUCAUUGCUGCCUCUUUAAUCUUAAUUCUUUUCUUAUAUCGUUCAUCAAUAUUUCCAUUUCAUUCACGAAAACACAUGUUUUCCAAAGGUGUGAUGGAUAUCCAUCAAUCUACAUCGAAUCCCAAAAUGCGCACGUUAAUUUCGAAAAAAAUAUAUAGUAGGCAUGAGUUGGGUAUAUCUGCCUCCUCCCAAGAUGUAGUAUUGCUUUCAGUUUUUGUGGUACGUUUUUUAUAUAUUUUUUGUAUUAGCUGUGAUUGUAUUCGGGCACGCGUUAUUUUCAGAUUAUAUUUCACAAGUGAUUUCACGCUUUUUUAGGGUGCUGUCGAACUACGAAUUCAAAGAUUCUUCUUUUACCCUCAGAUCUGAUAUUUACCUACAUUCACUUAAAGAUAAACAGAACCUUGCCUGUGACGAACCUACCAAGGCCGUGCUGAAUAAGGCUGCGGAGGAUUUGUUUGGUAAAAAUAUAUAUCAUGGUAAAACUGGUGGAGAAGAAAGGAAAAGUUGCUAUAGAAAUCUGAGCAGAAAAGACAAAAGAGAAUAUUCUAACAAUGAUUCUCGGCAGUACACACGGGAAGAGAAUGAAGCGCAAGUGAGCGGAUUGCCAAGUUUGAAGGAUACAAUACCUUCUAAUUGGGUUAUUGUUACUGAUUCUCCUCAUCGUGUGAGCUUCGUUAGAAUGGAAAGAUGGGAAUUUUGUAAUCAGCGGGGAUGUGUAGAUCUAUUAGUUGCCGUUGAUCAUGAACAUUCGAACAGUGUUUCGUUUACGCUGCGUUCACAUGGGAGUGUAGUUAAUUUAAAUGAUGUCAUGGAUUUCGAUAAUGUCCUCAAAGACUUGACAAUUUCAGGAAAAGUAUCGACUACGAUCGAAUUUAUUGAAAAGAGCCCAAUAUGUACAGGGUACUUUUUAUCAGAGGAGAAAGAGGAUAUUAUAUUAUUGGAUCCGUUAGCAACUGUAGGCAAUUUUAUAGAGCACAGUUCAGCGAGCAUAACUACUAAAUGUAGAAAAGUAUUUUCUAAAAACUGCGAGUUGUUCGCUUCUCCAGAGGGACACUGUAAGAAGUGCAAACAUCGUAAAGUAAACCAAGAGAAGAGAAAACAAUAUCGUAAAAAAGAAACACCUAGUAAGCGUUACUGUUGUUACAAGUAUAUGACUAGGCAGGAGUUAGUAGACCAGUUACGUUUGGAGAGGCAAAACCAUACUAACCUGAAAAGAAAGUAUGAGUAUAUGAAAUCUGGACAGGAGGCUAUCGAAGAUAACGACAGCGAAGACGACGUUGGAGAUCAGGACAGUGACAUUGGAGAUCCAGAUGAUGCAACUGGUGGUCAAGGUGCCGCAAUUGGUGAUCAAGGUGACGCAACUAGUGAUCAAAGUGGCGCAACUGGUGGUCAAGGUGCCGAAUCUGGUGGUCAAGAUGGCGCAACUGGUGGUCAAGACGGCGCAACUGUUGGUCAAGGUGAUGCAACUGGUGAUCAAGGUGACGCAACUGCUGAUCAAGAUGGCGCAACUGGUGACGAAGCCGAUGUUGGUGAUGCAGAUUGUAAUGGCGAAGAUGAUGGAAACGGGCUAAAACUAAAAACAGAAAUGAAGGGGGGAAAUGCAAUGGUAAUUAGUAGUAGAAUUUUGUACAACAUUCACUAACAAAAUAUACGACAUCAGAUGGGCAGAUCUAUCUAAAUGUGAUCAUGAAAAUGUUUAAGUUAAAGACGAUAAUAAUGUUGGUUGGAAUGGUUAGCUUGAAGCGUGUAUAGCUAUAAACUGUAGAAACAAGUUUUUACGAACCGUUUAAAGUCACAAAAGAUUUGUGUUGUAAAGGCGGAUCUCCACCAGACGAUUUUUGACGAUCUUCAGAACAGUUUGCGACGACACAUGCGCAAUUGAAAAAAAGUGUUCGAAGAGCGAUUGUCUGGCGCUCGACAAAAAGUAGGAUUGACUUCUACGUAACACAUGUUUUUCAACGUUUUAUUGUGUACACAGACAUUGUAAACUGUUGUAAAAUGUUUUCAAAGAACAUUUGCUACGAUGUUAUGUGAAAGAUCGUCGAAAAAGUUCCAAAAUGACUUUGGCAAUGACCAUAAUCUGAAAAUUAGCAUUUGCUCUUUUAAAGUUAUCACUGAUAGACGUUAAGCAUAAUUUCACUCGGACACGAGUGUAGUAUAAGUGCGGGAAACCAGAUAGAAAAGUCUGAGCCUUUGGUUGGUAAAUCACGCAAAUCCUUUGUGCCUAAAAUUGAGUGACGGAAGUGCGGUUUUCUGGACGUCUAUAUGUGGGGCAUUGGGGGCAGGACUGACAUACAAUGGCUUGGGUUUAAAAACUGCGAUAUUUAGAUUCUGUAACAUAAAACUUACGUGUCAACUCAAAAUGUUUUUGAUGCUGACCACAUUAUUGUGAAAUCUGGUAGAAUAUAGAAUAAAAUUUUAAGAGUUAAAGAGAGCACAUGAUAUUAUAUACUACACAAUUUCUCUAUGAAAAUUUCUGUUAAAAUUAAAAUUAAAAAGUACG